CGCUGGCGGCGUGCCUAACACAUGCAAGUCGUACGAGAAAGUUCGCUUCGGCGAAUGAGUAAAGUGGCGAACGGGUGAGUAACGCGUGGAUAAUCUGCCCUUUAGUCGGGGAUAACUCAUCGAAAGAUGGGCUAAUACCCGAUGAUACUGUAUUCACUGCGGUGAAUACAGUCAAAGGAGGCCUCUGUUUACAUGCUUUUGCUGAAGGAUGAGUCCGCGUACCAUUAGCUAGUUGGUAGGGUAAUGGCCUACCAAGGCAACGAUGGUUAGCUGGUCUGAGAGGAUGAUCAGCCACACUGGAACUGAAACACGGUCCAGACUCCUACGGGAGGCAGCAGUGAGGAAUUUUGCGCAAUGGGGGAAACCCUGACGCAGCAACGCCGCGUGAGUGAGGAAGGCUUUCGGGUCGUAAAGCUCUGUCAGAUGGGAAGAAAUGUAGUAAAGUUAAUAUCUUUUCUGCUUGACGGUACCAUCAGAGGAAGCACCGGCUAACUCCGUGCCAGCAGCCGCGGUAAUACGGGGGGUGCAAGCGUUGUUCGGAAUYAUUGGGCGUAAAGAGCGUGUAGGCGGCUKGAYAAGUCAGAUGUGAAAKCCCUGGGCUUAACCCAGGAAGUGCAUUUGAAACUGUCCGGMUAGAGUARGGGAGAGGAAAGUGGAAUUCCUGGUGUAGAGGUGAAAUUCGUAGAUAUCAGGAGGAACACCGGUGGCGAAAGCGACUUUCUGGCCCUAUACUGACGCUGAGACGCGAAAGCGUGGGUAGCGAACAGGAUUAGAUACCCUGGUAGUCCACGCUGUAACGAUGU
rnacentral:rRNA from 1 species